UAAUCACUUGUCUCUUAAAUGGGGACCUGUAUGAAUGGCUUUUCACUCUUUCACUGUCUCUCUUCCCUCCCUCCUAAUCUUCUAAUCACGUGAAGAAGCGUGAACAAAUAAGAAAGACGAGAAGACCCUGUCGAGCUUAAGCUAACCCUGAAAUGUAGUCUACCUUUUUUCUUAGAAAGAGGUAAAUUUCAGAUAAAGUUUUGGUUGGGGCAACCGUGGAGAAAAAGAAUCCUCCAGUUAGUUAGGAAGAAAACCUUUCACCUAAAAAAUUUAGCGACCCAGUUACUCUGGUAAACGGAAAAAGUUACCGCAGGGAUAACAGCGUUAUCUUCUCUAAGAGCCCAUAUUGACGAGAAGGAUUGCGACCUCGAUGUUGGAUUGGGGUAACC
rnacentral:rRNA from 1 species